ensembl:lncRNA
GGCUACACUUAAAGUACACAAAAUGUCAGAAAUCUGCACUGUCAUGAACAAAAAUUUAAACCUAAUUUUUCGUGAUUUGUUGGAUUAACCCUCUGAGGUCUGAAUCCCAGGCUGUGCACAUCAACAUCACAGAUUUGUACAAAUAAAGUUUAUAACAAAGGCAUGUUAAAUAUUAAGCACUGAAAACAGCUUGGUUGUUGUUGUUUGGAACGUCAUUUAAUGCAUGUUGUUUUGUUGCCAUAGUGAUGCCUUGAUGCUAAAAUGACAUCACAGCAUUUAAACAUGUUUUGGAUGAAAACAUCAGCAUAUGAAAACAGAACUGAAGAGACACUGCAAGCGUUUGAAAGCAGAGGACUAUUUAGUGAAAUUUCUACGUUUCCCUGAGGAUUAACUGCUCUGCAAUUUACCAAGAACUAAAUCAAAAUGAAUGGAAGAGGAGAUGAAUCACAAAAUAACCGUAAUGGCCGACAGGUUAACCCAGAAAAUCUUCCAAGUGGAGAUCAGGAACCAGCUUAUGAACCUAUUGGUGGAUUCUGGGGUUUACUGAACAGUCUUUAUCAUGCUCUCUAUAAUAUCAUUUUUUGGAGGCUGAUUGAGCUGUUAGAUGAAUUAGAGGAACAAUAUGAUGUCUUUGACAUUGACAAUGUCAAUGACGGCAAUGUUAACAAUGUAAACAUUGCCGACAUUGAAAAUGAUGAUUCUGAUGAGGCAUUUGAAGACUGUGAGGAUGUUCACCAGUACAUCCCAGAAGAGGAUCCUCAGCCAGGUGUAUCCAGGAGGAGGCCUAGAGAGAUGGAUGAAGAAGAUGUGGAACCAAACAAAAGAUUCAGAUGGAGCGAGGAGUUUUCUGAUGAUGACUCUGACUUCAUCUCUGCCUGUGACACUGAUAGCGAGGGCUGUCCUCAUGCUGGUAAUAUUGCUGACGAGGACAUCAAUCAGCAGGUAACAGAAGAAGAACAGCUGCCUGUUGGAUCCACGAAAAGGUCCAGAAAGGAAGAUGGAGAUGAAGAAGAGCCUAAUAGCAAACAGUCCAGGCUUGCAAACUCCGAGAGCAGUAGUGAUGAACUUUUUGAAGACGCACAUGAAGAGCUUGACAACCAUGAAACUGGAGGCUCGAGGAAGCGGUCCCGAGAGGAUUUUGAGGAAGAAGAGGAAAACUCGCGUGCUUGCAAAUUUCGGAGGUGUUCAGAUGAGUCCACCUGCACCAGUGAUGACAACUAACACUAUUCCGACGGCGUUUUCAGUAUCCUUUUAGCAGGCUGAUGUCCUACUCAUGUGACCCUGAAUCUUCCUUGCAGGCUGCAAUAAGCUGGGCAUACACUGUGCGAUUUCUUCAGUCGCGUUAUUCAGCUCCUGCUCAAACUGUCCGAUUGACUCGCAGGGGCUAGAAGUUCGUAGGUCACGAUGCAGGGUCUCACACUAUACGGCCCGAUGCUCUGUGCGACCUGAGUGCUCACACUGUGCGUCCAUAGCAUGAAGGUUAAAACACAAAAUCUUACACUAUUUUCACGGUUGUUGCGGUCGCGAUAAUUUUGUGAGGUAACAUCGAAAAGGCUCGGAUGACCUUGCCAAAGUUCUACAAGUCGUGCCUCCAUCGCUUGUGUCCGGAUCACACGCCGCACUGCCGUGCUGUUCCGUCUUUUCGCUUUUAUUUCUGUGUUUGCAGUGUGAGACGCUGCGUUGACACCCUCACGAUGGCCGACAGGAUUUCAAACAGGUUUGAUUUCCUUACGACCAAACGCUUGAUGAUUGGGAGCUGGUCGUGAGGUGUUAAUCGCCUCUCGUUACCCCAUGUAUACGAUGCACGACACGUGAUUAAGGGCAAACUCGGGCCGAUCCCCAAAACGGUCGCACGACUGAAAAAUCGGCUCAAAAUGGGCCAAAAAUCGCAGAGUGUAUGCCCAGCAUUAGGCUGCCGGGGGAUUCCCAUCAUGCACUGGGUGUUUCUUCUUCACCCUCUAUGUAUUAAUAGUCCUCUCUGUGCUGAAUCGUACUUGUUUUUAACCUCUGUCUCUCUUCCACAGCAUGUUUUUAUCCUGUUUUCCUUGCCCCUCCCCAACCGGUCGCAGCAGAUGGCCGCCCCUCCCUGAGCCUGGUUCUGCUGGAGGUUUCUUCCUGUUAAAAGGGAGUUUUUCCUUCCCACUGUCGCCAAAGUGCUUGCUCACAGGGGGUCAUUUGAUUGUUGGGGUUUUUUUUGUAAGUAUACCUUACAAUAUAAAGCGCCUUGAGGAGACUGUUGCUGUGAUUUGGCGCUCUAUAAAUAAAAUUGAAUUGAAUUGAAAAUUGAAUGGAUGUCACUGUGUAGAGAUAUUCCCUCCAUAGAAGGCUUAGACCCAAAUGCAGAUUCAAUGCACAUGGUUAAACUAUUUAUAAGACUUUGUUUAAAGAGAGAGAAUGGAGAACGUGGCUAGAGCUAGGAGUGUCAGCAGAGAGCAGGAACCAGAGGAAAAGCUAUCAAGAGACUGAUCACCUGGGUCGUGAUGGGAACAAUCCAACGGGAAUUCUUCAUCCAUCAGUCAGCGUAAUGCCUAAAACUUUAUUCAGAUGUAAAUAUAUUAUAUUUUUAAAUAAAGAUCAUUGAAGAAUAUGAAAAAAAUCAGUGUUUUUAAUGACACUGCAUUUCAUUCAUGUG